UAACUUCAGCAGAGAGACUGCACCUUCAAAGAUGGAUUUAAUCCUUCCUCAAGAGAAAUGUGUUCCUCUCCUCAGUGACUGACAAGGGAACCUCAGUGACUGGCAUGGGGCAGACGUUUCCUUUUUGACAGCAAAAGUUAAGUGAAGUACAACCCCACCUCCUGUGUGUGUCUGUUUCUAGGACUGGACUUUCCUGCCACACAGAAGACUAAUAGAAAAUAGGACCAGAAGGAGCAGCACAAGUACCGUAAUCCAAGAACUCUUGCUACAGCUUUUCCUAGUGCAAGAAACACAGAGGAGGUCACAUUUACAAAGCCACGCAACUUCUUAGGUGAGAUCUCUCCUGCAUACUGAACAUGGGCAUUCAUACAUACUCCUAAAAAGAAGACAAAGGAGAACUGAAGCUACAGAAAACAAGAGAGAGUCCCUUUUCAUUUCACCUGCUCCACACCCUGCUCCUCUCUCUGUGUCCCUGCAAAGAGAAC
rnacentral:lncRNA from 1 species